rnacentral:rRNA from 1 species
UACAGAGGUCUCAAGCGUUGUUCGGAUUCAUUGGGCGUAAAGGGUGUGUAGGUGGCGCCGUAAGUCGGGUGUGAAUUACGUGCUUAACUCCGAAACUGCAUUUGAUACUGCGGUGCUUGAGGACUGGAGAGGAGACUGGAAUUUACGGUGUAGCAGUGAAAUGCGUAGAGAUCGUAAGGAAGACCAGUGGCGAAGGCGGGUCUCUGGACAGUUCCUGACACUGAGACACGAAGGCCAGGGGAGCAAACGGG